AUUGAACGCUGGCGGCAGGCUUAACACAUGCAAGUCGAGCGAGCGGCGGACGGGUGAGUAAUGUCUGGGAAACUGCCUGAUGGAUGGGGAUAACUACUGGAAACGGUAGCUAAUACCGCAUACCAUCAGAUGUUCCCCGAUGGGAUUAGCUAGUAGGUGGGGUAAUGGGUGACCUAGGCGACGAUCCCUAGCUGGUAUGAGAGGAUGACCAGCCAAACUGGAACGGAGACACGGUCCAGACUCCUACGGGAGGCAGCAGUGGGGAAUAUGGGACAAUGGGCGCAAGCCUGAUGCAGCCAUGCCGCGUGUGUGAAGAAGGCCUUCGGGUUGUAAAGCACUUUAAGCGAGGAGGCGGGACUCGCAGAAGAAGCACCGGCUAACUCCGGGCCAGCAGCCGCGGUAAUUC
rnacentral:rRNA from 1 species